rnacentral:rRNA from 1 species
GACGAACGCUGGCGGCGUGCUUAACACAUGCAAGUCGAGCGGUAAGGCCCUUUCGGGGGUACACGAGCGGCGAACGGGUGAGUAACACGUGGGUGACCUGCCCUCAGCUCUGGGAUAAGCCCGGGAACUGGGUCUAAUACUGGAUAUGACUCCACGGUGCAUGCCGUGGGGUGGAAAGCCUUGUGCGGCUGAGGAUGGGCCCGCGGCCUAUCAGCUUGUUGGUGGGGUGAUGGCCUACCAAGGCGACGACGGGUAGCCGGCCUGAGAGGGCGACCGGCCACACUGGGACUGAGACACGGCCCAGACUCCUACGGGAGGCAGCAGUGGGGAAUCUUGCGCAA